rnacentral:tRNA from 1 species
AGCAGUGUGGCGUAAUGGAUAGAGCACGGGCCUGGGAGUCACGAGGUCAUGGGUUUGAAUCCCUGCUCUGCUA